CACGUAGGGGGCGAGCGUUGUCCGGAUUUAUUGGGCGUAAAGGGCGCGUAGGCGGUGCGGUAAGUCACCUGUGAAAUCUCCUGGCUCAACUGGGAGCUUGCAGGCGAAACUGCCGUGCUGGAGUGUGGGAGAGGUGCGUGGAAUUCCCGGUGUAGCGGUGAAAUGCGCAGAUAUCAGGAAGAACACCCGUGGCUAAGGCGGCUCUCUAGUACGUGACUGACGCUGAGACGCGAAAGCGUGGGGAGCGAACAGG
rnacentral:rRNA from 1 species